UGAAAACCCUGGAAGCUGAAGUCCUCUGCUUAUCCACACAAUAUGUACAGUAUGGGCAGCAGCAAUGCAAUCUUCCCAUGCAGCCCUGCCUAUGUUGUCUCAGAGCACCUCUGUUUGAAGACAGCAGUGACUGAGUAGUUCAGAUUCCAUUUCUAUUCAAGUUUCUCUGCU
rnacentral:sRNA from 1 species